CAAAAUGCGAGUUUAAAUAUUGCGAUUUUAACCCUGUCGCAAUUUUCGCAAUAAUAAAAACAUCACAAUUAUUUCUGAGUUUACAGUACUAGAAGGACAUUCCAACUCAUAAAUCUAAAAUAAACUGACAUCGUUAUGGCUAAAAAAGAAAAAGACAAACAAUAGUACACAAAACGCAACAUGCAACAGGAACCCCACGAUAAACUGGAGGUGAUCUCAGGUGCUCUAGAAGGGUAAACAGAUCUUGCUCCACAUGGCACCUGUCAUGUUGCUCAUGUUAGUACAUACCUAGUAAUAAGUCUAAUUUGGUAGGUGACAUUCGUAAAAAGGGAAAGGGUUUGU
rnacentral:lncRNA from 1 species